GGAAAUGUAGCGUAUAGGUGCAACUGUUCAACGGCUUUACAUACUCCAAGUUCCCUUGACUGAGGCCACAGUCCAGAGAAGGUGCUAGACCUGUAGGAGUAGUGAAACCGGUUGAUAUUGGUUGUACCAUUGAGUCGAGUUGUUUGAAAUUGCAGCUUAAAGUAGGUGGUAAACCUCAUCUAAGGCUAAAUAUGACCACGAGACCGAUAGCGAACAAGUACCGUGAGGGAAAGUUGCAAAGAACUUUGAAGAGAGAGUUCAAGAGGGCGUGAAACCGCUUAGAUGGAAGCGGAUAGAGUUAACAAAACACAACAGCAAUCAUCCGGUUAUAUGUUGUAACAUUUUAGCUGUUGACGCUUACUGCGUUACUGUUUGCACAGUUUUGUGUUUGCAGGAGCGGUUUGUGUUCGGUUAAUUUGUGUCUACAAUGUUUCUGAACCGGUGCUCUUGCUGUUGUUAUGCAUUGAGGGGCUUGCAAAGGUACGAAAAACUGGAUGUAAGAGGCCUAUGUUCUAAUGAAUGUAGAAACCUUACGCUGGUCACACUUCGCUAUCCUUUGUAAGUUAUUUGCAUUGCUACGUCUGCUUUUUUUGUAAAGCGUAAUGGCAAUUGCAUUGUUGUUGGUUUUGAUGAAGUUGCAUGGAUUUGUUGCUUGUCGGCAUGUCCUGUCUUCUCAGCUACAUCAAUGCUGGAUUGUUCAAUUACACAUACAAUUGAUUUAGGCGUUAGCUCCACAAUGUAUACAAAAAGUUAAUCACCUAUCCGACCCGUCUUGAAACACGGACCAAGGAGUUUAGCAUAUAUGCAAGUCAUUGGGUGUUGAAAACCUAAAGGCGUAAUGAAAAUAAGAAUAUGGGAUCUGUAUGUACGCGGCAUAUUGCAUCAAAUGUAUACAGCGCACCAUAGUCCUGCUAAUAUUGCAUGCAAUUUAGCGGAGAUAGAGCACAUAUGCUGAGACCCGAAAGAUGGUGAACUAUGCUUGAGC
rnacentral:rRNA from 1 species